UACGGAAGGCAGCAGUGGGGAAUAUUGCACAAUGGGCGCAAGCCUGAUGCAGCUAUGCCGCGUGUAUGAAAAAGGCCUUCGGGUUGUAAAGUACUUUCAGUCGUGAGGAAGGUGUUAAGGUUAAUAACCUUAGCAAUUGACGUUAGCGACAGAAGAAGCACCGGCUAACUCCGUGCCAGCAGCCGCGGUAAUACGGAGGGUGCGAGCGUUAAUCGGAAUUACUGGGCGUAAAGGGCACGCAGGCGGUUAAUUAAGUUGGAUGUGAAAUCCCCGGGCUUAACCUGGGAAUGGCAUUCAAGACUGGUUAGCUAGAGUCUUGUAGAGGGGGUAGAAUUCCAUGUGUAGCGGUGAAAUGCGUAGAGAUGUGGAGGAAUACCGGUGGCGAAGGCGGCCCCUGGACAAAGACUGACGCUCAUGUGCGAAAGCGUGGGGAGCAAAC
rnacentral:rRNA from 1 species